UACGGGGGGUGCAAGCGUUAUCCGGAAUUAUUGGGUGUAAAGCGUCCGUAGGAUGCUUUUUAAGUCUAUUGUUAAAUCCAGGAGCCCAACUCCUGUUCUGCAAUGGAAACUGGAAAGCUCGAGUUCGGUAGAGGAAGAGGGAAUUCUCGGUGUAGCGGUGAAAUGCGUAGAUAUCGAGAGGAACACCAGUUGCGAAAGCGCUCUUCUGGGCCGUUACUGACUCUGAGGGACGAAAGCCAAGGUAGCGAAAGGG
rnacentral:rRNA from 1 species